rnacentral:lncRNA from 1 species
GGGACUUAGAGUCUGGCAAGUAGAAGAGGGAUUUCAUCUUGUUGGAAAAUAUAAGUUGGAAAAUCAACCCACAUGAAAUUGCGGAAGCUGAGGGGUUUCACUGAUGGAAAAAUGGAGAAGAUUUGAUGAAACAGCAAGUCCUUAAGAGUGGGAGCCAGAAGUUUAAGUUGUAACAGGUUUCAGAUGUGAUUCAGAACUUAGAGGAUAACAAACUGCAGAAAAAUUCUUUGGAAGAUAAUGAUUAGAGAAAAAUUCUGGGUCAAAGGCAGCUAUUGUGGUGCAUAUUUAUUCAGACUUCAAAUUUGAAAAGAAAUCAUUGUUUCACAGACCAAAAGGGAGAAGAGAGUUGGAGAUGAAGGUAAACCAGGAUCCCGGUUUUAACCCUGCAACACACCAGUCUCCUGAACUUGAGUAUUUCCCCUGAGAAGAUUGUUCCAGGUUCUGACACAGUCUCAUCCAGGACCAAGAUGGUUUUCUUCACUUUCCAACCCAGUGAUCUUUUAGUUUUAAUAAAUGGAGAAAGCUCACCAAAGAAGAGAAAGGACAUGCUUCACUCAGGAUGAUGGGCUGUCCCUUUUCCUUUGGAACCAGCAUAACCUUCACCAUGUCAAUAUGGAUUGCAAAGAAAUGGAAACUUGGUGCUGUUCACCUUACAGCUCCUGAUGAUUUCUUACAGUGGGGGAAAGGGAGAUUGGACUUCAAGGUCAGAGUAGCUGAACCAAGUUAUUCCAAUGUAAGAAAAAAUGCUAACAUUGAAAGGAACAAUUUUACCCUGUAAAAAUCCUCUGCCUAGGGUACUAGAAAAAUCAGAAAAGGGAGCUGGUGGAGGAAAGAACUAGAAUAAACAAAGCAAGCUCAGAACAAUUCAUUCCUAUGUUUGUUUAUUGAAACAGAACCAGGAAGGACCAACGAAGGUCUGAAUUAAUGUAAUUUAUAAGAAGAAAGGCUCCCCUCCAAGGCAAUGAAAUGAUCUCUUUCCAAAUAUGUAACCAGGAGUGGCUCCCCAUAAACCCAGGGCAUGUCAGGGCAAAGAUGGUAUUCCAGAUCUUUACAGCCUCCCCAGUUUUUGCCUCAGAGAGAGUUCCUAAUUAACCAUUUAGGGAUUCAGAAUUGUUAAUCAAAGUUGCUCUGAUGAAAUUUUGAGGGUUGUUCUAUUUCUUGUCACAAGUUGAAUUGUUUAAAAGUACUGCCUCAGAGAUCUGAUUUUCCGCAUUAUGCCAGCAUUUUCUUACCUUAGGGCAGGCAAAGGGCUAGUCAGACUUUAAAAUUGGAACUUCUUCCAUUUUUUUCCCUCAGAGCAUUUGAAGUUUGUUUGUUUGGUCUGUUUGUUUUGUGUCUGUUACAGUUCUUUAUUUUGCUUUUCAAGUGCAAAGUUACUGUGCUGGUGAUGAUAGAAGGGAUACAUAAAGGAAGGAAAAAACUUGCUCAAGGAAGUUCACAGAGUGGAUACUCUAUAUCCAAUAAUAACAGUGAGGAAAGAAAGAAUGCAGUUGAAGAUAUGAGGGGCAAAGUAAUACAGAGAUUUUCACAGAUUUAGAAGAUUGCUGCCCAGAUCCUUCUGUUUCUCUCUUUUUGUUCCUAGUGAGAGUUAUUAAAAUAGCUAACAUCUACAUGCCCAUUCUGCACAGAAAGGGAUAUAUGAAGAAAGCAAGAAACCACUAGCCUAUGUGUAGGGUGAUAUGCCUUACAGCCAUGCUCAGUUACUAUUUUUGGUCAUGGGCCUAGAAAUAACCAUCUGGGCAAUCAGACUUCUGCAUUGACAUGCAAUGUUGGCUAAAUCCACAGGCAGCUGGCUGAGUAGUAUUUAAACUCAGUGCUGAGAUAGGAGUAGGCCCUGACAGGCAGUAGUUAGGGGACACUCAUCUAUUCUACCCAUGUCAACAGUAAUGAUACUGUAAUUCUUUCCAAAAUGUGGUCCUUUUUGCUAUGUUUUGACAAGCUGGCUGUUAUUCUAACUUUCUGUAUUAUUGGAAACACAUAGGCUAGACAUUGAUACACAUAUAUGCAUAUGCAUGUGUUUAUGUGGCUGUAUAUAGUUAUGGAAGAAUCCAUGAGAGUCAGUCUUCCAUAUUUAUUAAGUAUGUACACUAUGCAAAGCACUUUAUUGUGUGAUAUAGAAAAAUAUGGAAAAAUUGUAAGCAUACUAAGUCCAGGAGAGGUUGAUUCACCUAUGUUCCAGAACCUCACUUUGUGUUUCUAUUAAGUGACUUAUUGGGAUCAGGCAGUAUCCAAUAUCAUUUCUAGGUCUUUAAUUCUAUGAGUCCAUCAUUUUGGAUAAAAAUUAAAUAUACAGUUAAAA